UCAUUACUAAAACCUUGCUUGACUCUUAACGUUGGCAAAAACAAACACCUGUGGAAUGUCCUGAAGGCUUUUAAUCAGAUACCUGUGUUGCUGUUGGCUGAACUCUAGUGAAGCAUUAAUUUAAAGCUAAAUUGGUCUUCUGGAAUAUCAGUUAUGCUUUUUGGGUUUAGAAAAUAUGUAGGAAUUAGUCUAAGCUUCUCACUCAUGAAUCAAUGUGUUUCCGAGACUCUCAGCUUCCUCUUUUUUUUUUCUUUAAAUGAUUUUUUUUGUGUUUUGAUUCAAUGUAUCCUUUUUCAUAGUUCUGUAUUAUUGGCUUCACCAGUGUUGAUAGAAAAAGAAAUCAAAUCUUGAGUUGGAAACAGCAAUGGAUUAGGAUAUAGAAAUAAAAUCAUGGUAACAUCAGUGCUGGAUUUCCUUAAGCUUCUGCUACCUAAUUCCCCAUGUUGAAAGUGCAUACUCCUCAUGUUUUGCUUCUGGACAAAGGCAAUUAGAGGAGUCUUAGCCCAGUAUGAUAGGAUUUUAAAGAUCUUUCCCAACAGAAACACAGGAAUUGCGGGAACAUGGGGACAGAUGAGUUUUUUUAAAGGAUUGUUCUUUUGUCAAUAAGUUAUUUUGAUACUAAUGCUAGUAAAAGGGAUAUUCUAGAACAUCUUGAAGUUGGAAUACAAAUGAUAUUCUCUUGGGUUUAGGAGAAUUUAAGCAGUCUAUGCAACCCUUCACAUUGUGAGAAAUAAGCCCUUCGCAGUCCCACUAAGCUUUCGGUGACUUCAAUGCCUCCCCAGAUUCCCUGUGUUGCUGCUUGUUGACACCCAGCUUUUAACUGAGUGUUUGCUCCUGAUGGUUUAAGAGAUGUUCAUGUUGUAUCACACUAUCAAGUUUUAUUUUGUCUUUUUAUCCCUCUGUGGGUGUGUGUUUGAAACAAGCAUGGUACUGUAAUCCUACCUGAUAGAGUGUUCUGGAAUGAGAAUUCUUUCCUAAGCGGGAGACCCUUCCAUUUUAAUGUUUCUAAAGUUUUUAAUAUGGACUUGGCAUUGGAAAAGGGAGGGAAAGAAAAUGUUUACUAAAAAGCAGUGUCUGAUCUUCCCCUUUAUGAGUGCAUAUUUAUGGUCGAAUGAAAAGAAGAGAAAGACUCUUGGGUUUUCCGUUGCCAUGUUAAGUAUGGAGAGGGAUGCUUGACAGCAUGCUAAUUGAAGCCAGAACAAGUAUGUCUCCAUCAGGUUAUCAGGAACUCUUCAGUUGAAUGCUGAGGACCUAACUGGUUAGUGGUAGAUCAUAUUGGAAUUGGUUACAAGAUAGAAGUGCUGUCUGGGUUAAGCACCCUAAGAAAAGAAUGCAGCAGCCUAACAUAGUGUUAAACUAGGUUUCUGGAUUUGAAACUGAUCCUUCCCUCGCCCCAUUCCACACACCUGAAACUGUCCGUUUUCUUAUCAGACCAAAGAGCAAAGAAGAAAAAAAAAGUAAAAUACUUUACCAAUCUAUGUCACUCAGGUACAAUUUUGUGGUAAUAUUUUUGUCUGUUUUCUUUGUAUUGCUCUUAAGAGUCCUUUCUCAGCACACUCUUCUGCUGUUGCCUCUGUCCUCCUCGGGGCACCUCAGUUCUGGAUGCUACCCCUGGGAUCUCUACCGCUGUUAUGUGACUGAUAGGAUGUAAGUGACCAUUACAGUAAGGGCUCUUUGUAAAAAAUUCAAAAAAACAUUUUUAAAAAAUUUAAAAAAGGAUGUUGUAUACAUUUUAUAGUCUGGCUAUCAGUUUGAUAUCUUGCUGUCAAGUAUGUUUCUCAAUCUGUAUUUAUCCAUCCCAUCAAUAAAUGUUAAUGAUAAAACACUCAUCUGAUUGUUGUUUAUGUGUCCUAAGUCUUUAAAUUAGGCUUUAACUGCCGUUUACUCUUAUGAUUAUAGUUUUUAGUUUUGGUAGUAUAUACUUUCUGACUACACAAGAUUCUGGAGAAUUCGAGUCCAGGAAAGACCUAAGAUUUGGUUGUCACAGUGAACCUGGUAGUAGUAUAAAGUAUGAUGUAGUCAGAGGGGGAAAAAAACCCACACUCAAUAUAGCAUUCUUGGUGGUGCCUGGAAAAACUGAUAGUGAAUGCUCACUCUUUUCCUGAUACAUAUAAAACCACACACACACGCACACACACACGGUAAAUCUUAUAAAUUACACAUUUAAAGGGAAAGAAUACUUGUGCCAAAAUAUUUCAAAAUUAUAACAAAGCAGAAACUAUGGCUUAAAAACUAAAAGGAAAAAAAGGUCAAUUUGACAGAAUGAUGUACGCAUCUGAAAAAAAAAUCACUUGAGUUCUCGUCAACCUUCUAUUUUCUAAAAUAAGACAACUUAAGAUUUUUGAUUGCUGUAUCUCUCCUGAAACUUUUGUGGAAGUUGCUGACAUUUUAGACAUUCUGGUCUGGUUUGAAUGGAAGAAAAGCAAAUGAAGAAUGUAGGAAUGGAUGAUAUUACAAAAUCCUAAGUUUUAGUGACUUGCCUUUGUUAAGAGAGUUAAUAUCAACUGUGUCAUCCUUGGCAAUAGAUGAGGUACAUAAAUCACAGUAUAAAGGUGGAUCCCCAUGAAUAGGGCUUGUUAAACUAAUUCAUACAGUUAGGCUUCAUCUUAUGAUCAAUGCUUGCAUGAUCCUGGUCUCUAUCAUUCAAUGUUCUGAGGAAAAUUUGAAACCCUUUCUGUGUCUUCUGUGGAUUUUAUUGGCUUGAUAGGAUGCAUGUAUUUAUUGCAGUCUGGCUCUGGGGCUUAUUUCUGAACUGAUUUCGUUUAUGUCACAUGUCUUAACUUGUGCUACCUUUUUUUGUACUGUGGCAUAUCCGCCCUUUUAUUUCAUAAACACUCAGGCAAAAACAAGUUAAAAUUGAAUAUUAGGUAGACCUUUUCUGAAGAAUAGUUUCAGGUACUUUCCUGCCUUAAAUUUAUUCAUUCAUUAGAAAAUAGUACCUAUCAAGUGCUGUGUACUGUUUACUGAUGGAAUAUGGCAGUAAACGUAACAGACAUCCUGCCCUCAAAGAACUUAACACAUUUUAGUUGUAGUGGAGAUAAGUAAAAGUUAGUAUGUUAGAUAAUAAGUACUUUGGAGAAUGUUAAGCGGAGAAAGAAUAGAGAUUUUUUGUGUGUCUGUGUUUAAGCUAAGUAGGGCUCUUGAAAUUGGAAAUAAGAUGGCUAGGAAGGAAGAAGGCCCCAUAAAAUUACAAUUCAGCAAAGAUCUGAACGAGAUGAGAGCAAGCCAUAACAGUAGCUGGGGUAAGAACAUUACAGGCUCUUUUAGGAAACAAGUACAAGGUUCUGAGGUGAGAAUAUGCUGGUAUGUUUGAAAAUUGCAGGAAGGCCAGUCUAGCUGGUAUGGACACAAGAUGAAGAGAGAGUAGUAGGAUGUGUGAUUAGAGAGGAAAUGGAAUGCUAGGUACUGUAGGGCCUUGUAAGCCACCAUGUAAGAUCGUGAAAUGCAUCAAUGGAAAGCUUGGAGCAGAAAAGGGACGUGGUCUAGCUGAGGUUUUUUUUUUUUUGUAGCUGAGGUUUUAAAGUGUUCUUUUAGCCAUCUGUAUUUGAAAUGGCUUUCGUAAUAAGGUAAGAGAUGAGAGUGGUUUGGGUCAGGUAAUGAGAAGUUAUAUCUUGAAUUUGGAGGCAGUAGGAUCUGCUGUAAGUUUGGAAGAGAAUAGUCAUGGGUGAUUCCCAGUGUUUGGCCUGACCAACUGGAAAGGUGGAGUUGUCAUACUGAGACGGGGGUAACUACAAAAAGAGCAGGAGUUUGGCAUCCAUUCAUAUUCAUUCUCUGUGUCAUGUGCACACACACCCCUUUCUCUAGGAUUGGCACUGAGAACUACAAAUUCUCAAAAAUUCUCUUUCCUUCGAAACUUCAUCUUUGCCAAUCUAUUUACAAGCAGCCUCAGGUCCACUUGAACCUAUUCAUUAGCUAGCAGAGUGUUCAGUGGAUUAAAGACAGAUAUCUUAAAAAAAAAAAAAAAAAACAAAGAAAACCCAGCCAUCUUCUUUGUUAAACAGCACAAAGAAUUUGCCAACAUGUUGAUCCUUUAAUAAUAUCUUCCCUCUUUCCCACUUAAAGGUAGUGGUUGUAAAUAGCAAUUUUUUGCUUGUUUUAGCAGGUGGAUUUUUUUUUUUUCCUGCCUGUGUGGCUCAGCGGUUGAGCGCCUGCUUUCUGCCCAGGGCAUGAUCCUGGAGUCCUAGGAUCGAGUCCCACAUCAGGCUUCCUGCACGCAGCCUGCUUCUCCCUCUGCCUAUGUCUCUGCCUCUCUCUCUCUCUGUGUCUCAUGAAUAAAUAAAUGAAAUCUUUAAAGAAAAAAAUAUUUUUUUCCCAACUAAGACCUAUAGUUGACACUAAACAAUGAAGGUCUGUUGCAUCCCUAGCUAGUUCCUAAUGCCUCUUUUCAUUGUUCACUGUAGUAGAGUUUUGAUAUUACCACAUCUGGUUUCAGAUUCCUAUUUUUUAAUAAGAUUUUAUUUAUUUAUUUACAGAGACAGAGCACAAACGCGGGAGUGGGAGGGAGAGGGAGAAGCAGGCUCCCCGCAUAACAUCUCUGCUCCAUUCUAGCACCCUGGGAUCAUGACCUGAGACAAAAACAGACAGUUAACCAACUGUACCAUCCAGGCACCCCUCCUUUUUUUUUUUUUUAAGGUUUUAUUUUUAAGUAAUCUCUGCACUCAAUAUGGGGCUCCAGUUCACGCCACCAAGAUCAAGAGUUGCAUGCUCUAGCAAUUGAGCCAGCCAGGCACCCCUGGUUGCAGAUUCUGAUUCCCAUAUUUUCCAGCUAGUUUUGAGUUGUAGAGAGUUUAUAACAAAUGUCUUCUUUGUAUCCCUUCUGAGGGUUGGAGCGUUUGCUUAUGUGUAUAUAUCAUCUUUUCUGUGGAUACUAUGUUUGUAUUUGCAUCCACAAUCUGAAACUGCUCUAGAAUGUUUACUCAAAAGAACAGGGUCAUCUCUCUUGUUCUCUCUGUAUCCCUAGUGCCUAGCACUUAGGUUCUCAAGUAUUUGUUGAAUGAAUGAAUGAAUGUUCAGAAAAGGGCCUUCUGGGGACACCCUAAUCUGGAAAUGACAUCUCUUCUACCUCCCCCUCUACCCCCCUCCUUUGUUUUAAUCACUUCGUGUGCCUAAAGUGUAGUUGUCCAGCAUUGUAGAUUCUCUAUGCACACUUGCAGUGUGAAUCAUACUCAUCAGCUCAUUGUUGCUGGAGAAACCUCUUAAAUGAAACUGACACUAGAUAAACGUUGUAAGGCUGGGAUGCAGAAAAAAGGUCCAGAAGGGUUACAGGGAGAAAUUGUUGGUUCCUUUCUACAACAGGUGGGGUGGAGAUGAAAAAAAAGAUACUUUUGCUGAAAAAUCGUUAAAGUAUGAUAAGAUUGGGAUUGUCUGCUGUUUCUCUAUACCUGCAUUAGUUAGCAUGAAAUUGUAGAGAAUUUUAGAGAAGUAGGGUCAAAACCAGAACUCCUAUUUCCUUAUUCUCAAUCCAAUGCUCUAUGCUACAUGAGAGGCAAUUAAGGGAUAAGGAAUGAGAGCUGGGUUCAAAUUCACCUCCCUUUUCCAUUUACUAGAUAGAUAGAGAGGCCCAUUCUGUUCCUCGGUUAUCUUAUCCGUAAGAUGGAGAUAACAACCUCGGCCUCUCAGGGUUUGCUCUGAAAAUCAAGUGUUUAA
rnacentral:lncRNA from 1 species